rnacentral:rRNA from 1 species
GGAAUUUUCCGCAAUGGGCGAAAGCCUGACGGAGCAAUACCGCGUGAGGGAAGACUGCCCAUGGGUUGUAAACCUCUUUUUUCAGGGAGGAAUAAAAUGACGUGUACCUGAAGAAUAAGCAUCGGCUAACUCCGUGCCAGCAGCCGCGGUAAGACGGAGGAUGCAAGUGUUAUCCGGAAUCACUGGGCGUAAAGCGUCUGUAGGUGGUUUAAUAAGUCAACUGUUAAAUCUUGAGGCUCAACUUCAAAACCGCAGUCGAAACUAUUAGACUAGAGUAUAGUAGAGGUAAAGGGAAUUUCCAGUGGAGCGGUGAAAUGCGUAGAGAUUGGAAAGAACACCGAUGGCGAAAGCACUUUACUGGGCUAUUACUAACACUCAGAGACGAAAGCUAGGGUAGCAAAUGGGAUUAGAUACCCCAGUAGUC